AUGCAUGCCCAAGAAGCCCAGCACGGCCAGGUUGACAUUGUUGGAGUAAGUUGCUAUUCUUCAAAUGACCUGUUGUCUUGGAGAAACGAAGGAGUUGUGCUCCAUGGCGAGGAAAAUAAUUUGUCACAUGACCUCCACAAAUCCAAUGUCUUGGAGAGACCCAAGGUGGUCUAUAACAACCGGACCGGCAAAUACGUGAUGUGGAUGCACAUAGACGAUGCGAACUACACCAAAUCCUCAAUCAGCGUGGCAACGAGUGAUUCUCCCAUGGGACCAUUCACUUAUCUCUACAGUAAGCGCCCACAUAACUACGAAAGAAGAGACAUGACCAUUUUCAAGGCCUACCUGAUAUAUUCAUCCAAGGGCAACAAUGAGCUCCACAUUGUGCAGCUAACCGAUGACUACCUCGACAUGACCGACGGCAUGCGAAGAAUUCUUGUUGCACGGUAUCGAGAAGCCCUCGCGCUCUUCAAGUUCCGUGACAUCUACUACUGA
rnacentral:rRNA from 1 species